AUAAAUACUCCCUGUGUCCUUCUAGUCCAAUUUUUGCCCAAACCUCCGCCUCCCGUGCCCUAUAGUGUCGCCCGGAUCUCACCGGAGUUCACCGCCGUAGAAGCUUUCCGCCGGCCGAUUCCGUCCCGUCCGAAGGGAAGUACUACAACGAGCACAUCGGGCUCGAGCCGAAGCUCCACUCCGCCGCUGCCGCUCCAGUUGUGUACUGCCGUCGCCAGAGAACGCGCCCGUCGUAUCCAACGGCCCUUCAGUGAUCUCCGACGAACAACGCAACUCGUUGUCGAGUUAUCGAACACCAGGAACCACUGGAGCGAGCUGCACAUCAAUGACCGAAGCCCUGCAGCUUUUCUUCUCCAAGUCCGGCUGCCCUGCCCUUGUUUUUCCGAUUGUCCGGAGCGCGAAGCGGAUCAGAAUUGACCAUUAGAGUACUUCAGCACCAUUCAAGGCAAGUUUGCACUUUGAUUUUUCUUAUCCUAUAUUCUGCUAUGCAAGGGUGGUUUUAUGCUAUGAUAUAUGUUUGGCCUGGCCGUGUUGUCAUGUUUUGGUAUUGAUUGUAUUAUGUGUUGGUGUGAUCAACUUGCUAUGGUAGACGUGGGCAUGUGUCGAGUGAUGCAUGGAAGUGGCGAGUCUUUAUAGCUGUAGGCUCGGGACUUUUUCUCAGGUGAAUGCGCCAUGACUGAGCGCACUUGAGUUGUCGGGACUUUUUUUUCUC